rnacentral:rRNA from 1 species
GACGAACGCUGGCGGCGUGCUUAACACAUGCAGUCGAACGGAAAGGCCCUGCUUUUGUGGGGUGCUCGAGUGGCGAACGGGUGAGUAACACGGGAGUAACCUGCCCCUGACUUUGGGAUAACUUCAGGAAACUGGGGCUAAUACCGGAUAGGAGCUCCUGCUGCAUGGUGGGGGUUGGAAAGUUUCGGCGGUUGGGGAUGGACUCGCGGCUUAUCAGCUUGUUGGUGGGGUAGUGGCUUACCAAGGCUUUGACGGGUAGCCGGCCUGAGAGGGUGACCGGCCACAUUGGGACUGAGAUACGGCCCAGACUCCUACGGGAGGCAGCAGUGGGGAAUAUUGCACAAUGGGCGGAAGCCUGAUGCAGCAACGCCGCGUGCGGGAUGACGGCCUUCGGGUUGUAAACCGCUUUCGCCUGUGACGAAGCGUGAGUGACGGUAAUGGGUAAAGAAGCACCGGCUAACUACGUG